rnacentral:RNase_P_RNA from 1 species
GGGUCUUUUUGGAUGACCGCGCACAGAUGAUGAGAGACGGGAAACGACCUGUCCAACCGCUGUGGGAGGAAAGUCCGAGCUUCGAAGGGCAGCGUAGUGGGUAACACCCAUCCUCGACGUUCGCACCUUGGGGGUCUGUUUUUCCAGGGUCAAAUGUUGAGCGGAUCAGAGCCACAGAGACGAGUCCUGCACCGCAGAUGUGAGAACCAAUGUGGGGCAGGGGUGAAACGCGGCAAUCUCUACGCGAAGAAAGGCUAAACAGGGGAAAGAGCCCGCGACAUAUCCGCGGGCGGGAACGGCCCGUUCCUUUUCUGCCGUCAGGCGGGAACUUUCCCGGGUAAGCCGCCUGAGACCGUCAGUAAUGGCGGCCCUAGACAGAUGGUCAUCGCCUUUCCCGCGAGGGAGGGUACAGAACUCGGCUUAUAGAGAAGAUCUUCUC